rnacentral:rRNA from 1 species
CCUACGGGUGGCAGCAGUGGGGAAUUUUGGACAAUGGGCGCAAGCCUGAUCCAGCUAUUCCGCGUGUGGGAAGACGGCCUUCGGGUUGUAAACCACUUUUGUAGAGAACGAAAAGUCUAUUGAUAAUACCGAUAGAUGAUGACGGUACUCUAAGAAUAAGCAUCGGCUAAAUACGUGCCAGCCGCCGCGGUAAUACGUAGGGUGCGAGCGUUAAUGGGAAUUAUUUGGCGUAAAGGGUGUGCAGGCGGUUUUGCAAGAUGGAUGUGAAAGCCCCGGUCUUAACCUGGGAAAGCCAUACAUGACUGGAAGGAUAGAGUGCGUCAGAGGGGGGUGGAAUUCCAAGUGUAGCAGUGAAAUGCGUAGAUAUUUGGAAGAACACCGAUGGCGAAGGCAGCCCCCUGGGACGCAACUGACGCUCAUACACGAAAGCGUGGGGAGCGAACAGGAUUAGAUACCCGAGUAGUC